UGGCUGUAAUCUUCCUCCUCUGUUUAUUUGCUGGAUCUGUGGUUUGGGGUUGUUCUGUCCUGAAGGGGUUUCUUCUCUGCUCUGUGACUGACUAGAUUAGUCUGAUGGAGUAUUAAUGAGCCCUGAGGUCAGACUUUCCCCAGUUGGCAGCAGAAGCUGAAAGUGUAGGUGCAGGUUCAAGGGAGCUGUGCUUCCAGCCCCGUUAUUAAGGUAUUCUGUAGUGGUUGCAACCUUUGUCCUGGGAGCUUAGUCAGCAAGGCUCUGUGCAGGAUGGAUGUUAGAGACUGAGCUUCCCAGCCUUCUGAAGAUUUCUUAUCUGCCUUAUUAAUAAGAUUAAGCCAGGGUGGAGCUUAUCUACCUUGAAGUCAAAAUCUUGAAGGGGGUGUGGGGGAAGAUGGAGAUUUUUGGCUGCAACUAAACUGCCUUCUCCUUGCUUCUCCUCUAGCUGCCUCCCUGCUGACUAUGGUCAGUGCCCUGAGCCUGGCAUAUUUGUUACAGCAAGGCACUCCCUCCAGGCUGGCACCAUUGCCCCAAGAUUCCAGUGACCCCCAGAGACUCAGUACAGUAGGUGUCUACCAACCUCAUGUGUGUUUCUUGGAGACAACAUAUGGUGCGGUUUUGGAUUCUAAUCCAUUCUGCUAUUCAUCUACAUUUUAUGGGAAGAAAGAAAGAAAGAAAGAAAAGCAGGAAGGAAGAAACAAAGAAAAGAACAAAAAACAAAGAAAGAAACAAAGAAAGGAAAGAAAGAGAGAGAGAGAAACAAGGAAACAAGAGAGAGAGGAGAGAGAAAUAAAGGAAAACUGAAAAAAAUCAGAUCAAUUGAUCAAUGAAUAUUGAAAAGUCUGCCAUUCUAUCCAAUCCACCACUGCAAAAAGAAAAAAAAGACAUGUCUUCUGAUACAUUUUCCUUCCUUCUCUUUGUAAUUUUAAACUUUAAUUUUAAUUCCUUCAUGUUGAUUGUUGUUUUAAUACAACACAAUACAAUACAAUACAAUUCUUGUAAUCAUUGUAUGGAUUACUUUUCACCUGUUAAAUUUUCCUUGUAUCAGUUUAGAGAAGUCUUUCCAUACUUCUAUAAUUUGCCCACAUUUAUUAUUUCUUAGAGCAUGAUAAUAUUAUAUUAUAUUCAUUGAUCAAAACUGGUUUAAACCAAUCUCCAACUAAAGAGAAUCGAUUUUGUUUCUAUUUAUUUGCCUCCAAAAAAGUGAUACUUUGGUACAUAGAGAACUUUUCUCUUGGCUAAUAAACAUCUUCAUAAGUGCA
rnacentral:lncRNA from 1 species